rnacentral:misc_RNA from 1 species
UCCGGUUUGGCACCGGCAGUCUCCAAUGAGUCCCCGGCAUUACCCGCUGGCAACAUUGAACAGGGGUUGCGCUCGUUGCGCCACUUAAGGCAACACCUCACGGCACGAGCUGACGACAGCCGUGCACCACCUGUGCAGGCUCCGAAGAGCACCCGCUUUCACGGGUUUCACCCUGCAUGUCAAGCCCAGGUAAGGUUCUUCGCGUUGCGUCGAAUUAAACCACAUGCUCCGCUGCUUGUGCGGGCCCCCGUCAAUUCCUUUGAGUUUUAGCCUUGCGGCCGUACUCCCCAGGCGGGGUACUUAAUGCGUUAGCUACGGCACGGAUCCCAAGGAAGGAAACCCACACCUAGUACCCACCGUUUACGGCGUGGACUAC